AUAACUCCGGGAAACCGGGGCUAAUACCGGAUGGUUGUUUGAACCGCAUGGUUCAGACAUAAAAGGUGGCUUCGGCUACCACUUACAGAUGGACCCGCGGCGCAUUAGCUAGUUGGUGAGGUAACGGCUCACCAAGGCGACGAUGCGUAGCCGACCUGAGAGGGUGAUCGGUCACACUGGGACUGAGACACGGCCCAAACUCCUACGGGAGGCAGCAGUAGGGAAUCUUCCGCAAUGGACGAAAGUCUGACGGAGCAACGCCGCGUGAGUGAUGAAGGUUUUCGGAUCGUAAAGCUCUGUUGUUAGGGAAGAACAAGUGCCGUUCAAAUAGGGCGGCACCUUGACGGUACCUAACCAGAAAGCCACGGCUAACUACAUGC
rnacentral:rRNA from 1 species